CUGAUGUGUGCGCUCAUGGGCCAACGUUGAAGAACGUGCCCGGUUCACCGUGAAAACGGGAGAAAGCGCCCCAGUCAG
rnacentral:ncRNA from 1 species